rnacentral:sRNA from 1 species
GCUGGGCGCAGUGGCGCACUCCUGUAAUCCCAGUGGCUCAGGAGGCUGAGACAGGAGGAUCAAGAGCUCAAAGCCAGCUUCUGCAAAGGUGAGGCACUAAGCAACUCAGUAAGACUCUGUCUCUA